rnacentral:antisense_RNA from 21 species
CGCUCGCGGCGGGGCCGCCUUAAGUGUCCGCCGCUCAUUUGCCCCCAAUUCGGGGGU